rnacentral:lncRNA from 1 species
AGGGGAUCCCAAGAGAAAGAGGAACAGAAAAGGGGAGGAGGAGGAAAAGAAGGGAGCGGGGAGGAAGGGAGAGAGAGUGUUCCCUGCGUCAACAAUUUAUUCAUUCCACAAACAUUUCUAAGUGUCCAUGGUGACCCAGACAUCAUGGGAACUUCAGGGUUCCAGAGCUGAGUAGAACACAACUCCCAUCCUUAGGGAUUCACCAUCCAGUAGAGGAGAAAGACGUCGAGACAGAAGACAGAAGGGAAAGGAAAAGCUCAAUGCUGUGCCUUCAACUUAGCUUCUCCAUUUUUUGGAGAAGGGUUAAUAGGGGAAGCAGAGAGAGAGAGAUGAGAGACCAAAGUUUCUAGGGCCUUUAUCUCCAGAGCAGAGGGUCUGAAACCUUAGUGAGCAAAAACUGAUCCGGAAGACUUGUUGGAGGCAUACCUUCCAGUUCAGCGAGCCAUUUCAGCAGAUUGGAGAUCCCCUGCCUGCAGCACGUGCUGAUCUCCAAGGGUGAGGCUGGAUGAAGCCAGGGGCUAUGGAAAGGGAGACUGUUUCAGAGGACUUGACACCAUCUUCAGUAAUUUCUCUGGUUCUUGGCAGCUCCAUUUGGCUGCGUCCCUACCCUGCAUAACCCUCCCAGCUAGUCUACUCCAGGGCAGCAUCCAGCUGGUGACCUGAGAGGGCAGUGGCGCACCAGUCUCCAUGAAGGUUGAGCUCCGAUGGCCAACAGCCAUUUCCACCUUGUGGUCUACAACUCUUCAUCCCGACUGCAUGGAGGUUGGUCUCUCUCUUCAGCUGGAUUUAGGCCACCAUCUGAGCCCCCGGGGUACGUUUUGUCUGACCCUGGCGCCAUUCGAACGGUUCUUCUACAGCAUCAGUUCUCUUUCCUGCCACCAUGU